rnacentral:rRNA from 1 species
GACGAACGCUGGCGGCGUGCUUAACACAUGCAAGUCGAACGAUGAACCCGGAGCUUGCUCCGGUGGAUUAGUGGCGAACGGGUGAGUAACACGUGAGUAACCUGCCCUUGACUCUGGGAUAACUGCGGGAAACUGUAGCUAAUACCGGAUACGACCCUCGGCGGCAUCGCCAGGGGGUGGAAAGAAUUUCGGUCAAGGAUGGACUCGCGGUCCUAUCAGCGAGUUGGGGAGGGAACGGCUCACCAAGGCGACGACGGGUAGCCGGCCUGAGCGGGUGACCGGCCACACUGGGACUGACACACGGCCCAGACUCAUACGGGAGGAAGCAGUGGGGAAUAUUGCACAAUGGGCGCAAGCCGGAUGCAGCAACGCCGCGUGAGGGAUGACGGCCUUCGGGUUGUAAACCUCUUUUAGUAGGGAAGAAGCGAAAGUGACGGUACCUGCAGAAAAAGCACCGGCUAACUACGUGCCAGCAGCCGCCGUAA